CUAUCUCCUGGGAGGUAUCUUUGGCCUCCCUGUGAUUUGUUUGUAUUGCUCUGGGGUUCUCCCCUGUCCCUGUAUGCCUUUUCUUGCAACUUCCUGUUUGGUGCUGCUAAAGCCUUCUCUGGCUUUUUAAUGAAGUUUUAUUCUGACCAAAAAAAAAGCCUGGGAUGAUAAUUGUUCUGUGGUGAAACAGAGGAGAAUGGCAAAGAAAGAAGCUAGGCGUGGAAUAGCUGCCAGGAAAAUGAUAAUAAAUUUUGAAACAGGAAGAUGGGAGGUUGGCUGCCGGGCAUCGUGAAAGAGUUUAGUGUUCUCCUCUGGGUCUCUACAUUGUCCCCGGUCCUACCUACCCAGAGACCAACUCUGAUCAAAAGAAAAUAAUCUCCCUAAGCAUUUACUUUGACUCGUUUCACUCUGUUAGCUAGAUUGUUGACUCUAAAAUAAAUGCUGAAUUACAUUUGGGUUUUGUGUUCA